rfam:Poecilia formosa, whole genome shotgun sequence.
CCUUCAAUAGCUCAGUUGGUAGAGCGGAGGACUGUAGGGUACAACGCUGGACAUCCUUAGGUCGCUGGUUCAAAUCCGGCUCGAAGGA